rnacentral:rRNA from 1 species
AGCGGCGGAUGGGUGAGUAACACGUGGGGAACCUGCCCCUAAGUCUGGGAUACCAUUUGGAAACAGGUGCUAAUACCGGAUAAUAAAGCAGAUCGCAUGAUCAGCUUUUGAAAGGCGGCGUAAGCUGUCGCUAAGGGAUGGCCCCGCGGUGCAUUAGCUAGUUGGUAAGGUAACGGCUUACCAAGGCGACGAUGCAUAGCCGAGUUGAGAGACUGAUCGGCCACAUUGGGACUGAGACACGGCCCAAACCCCUACGGGAGGCAGCAGUAGGGAAUCUUCCACAAUGGACGCAAGUCUGAUGGAGCAACGCCGCGUGAGUGAAGAAGGUUUUCGGAUCGUAAAGCUCUGUUGUUGGUGAAGAAGGAUAGAGGUAGUAACUGGCCUUUAUUUGACGGUAAUCAACCAGAAAGUCACGGCUAACUACGUGCCAGCAGCCGCGGUAAUACGUAGGUGGCAAGCGUUGUCCGGAUUUAUUGGGCGUAAAGCGAGCGCAGGCGGAAAAAUAAGUCUAAUGUGAAAGCCCUCGGCUUAACCGAGGAACUGCAUCGGAAACUGUUUUUCUUGAGUGCAGAAGAGGAGAGUGGAACUCCAUGUGUAGCGGUGGAAUGCGUAGAUAUAUGGAAGAACACCAGUGGCGAAGGCGGCUCUCUGGUCUGCAACUGACGCUGAGGCUCGAAAGCAUGGGUAGCGAACAGGAUUAGAUACCCUGGUAGUCCAUGCCGUAAACGAUGAGUGCUAAGUGU